rnacentral:lncRNA from 10 species
GCUCUUUUUCUCUUACUCUGGGGAUGUGAAAAUGUGUCUGCUUCCCCUUUGCCUUUCACCAUGAUUGUGAGUUUCCUGUGCAGCCUGCUUCCUGUACAGCCAGGCUUCCCAUACGGCCUGCAGAACGGAGGGGGAUGAAGAACACUCUCAGGACCUUACUCUAAGAGUAAGGUAGAGCUGGGAGCUGCAAGGAGCCUGGUUCCUCAGUCACUUCAUGGAGCAGAGAGCCUCCUCGCUACCUGUGCUGAACGGUAUAAGAAGCAUGCUGUGAUAUUGAGUCAAUUGGUUGCCCAAUCACAGACAUCUUUCACUGACAGAGUAACAGGUGUGUGGGCUUUGAGCAGUCGCUACACCUUCCCUCUUCAGGCAUGAUGAGAGGAUUCCUGCAGCGUUUUGCAAGAGGGUCCACACUACCUUUAUGAGCUGUAACACUCACCGUGAAGGUCUGCAGCUUCACUCCUGAAGCCAGCGAGACCACGAACCCACCGGGAGGAACGAACAACUCCAGAUGCGCCGCCUUAAGAGCUGUAAUACUCACCACGAAGGUCUGCACCUUCACUGCUGAGCAAGCGAG